UCUAGACUAGAUCUUUUGUAUAGUAAUUACAGUAUUUUUUAAUAGCUAUACAUUUUUAAGUCAACUUUUUGUUGUUUUUUUUUCUAUUUAAAAUGCUGAGCAUACAUAACUAAACUGGAAGAACAGAUGAAGUCCAAAAUGCUAAAGCAACAGACAACCCAGUUCAAGAUAGACUAGGCUACAUCCUGCUGGUUAGACCAUGAUAAAGUACAUCCUGCUGAUUCAGAGACCAAGAUAAAGAACAUCCUGCUGAUUCACAGACCAAGAUAAAGUUCCUCCUGCUGAUUUACAGACACUUGUAUGGGCUGCUACUUGUGAUUAAGAGCUGACUUCAAAUGAUAGCAAGAGGAUGAUUUAAGAUGAAGAUAGAGAGUAAGCUACAUCCUAUUACUCUAGAAAAAGAACAGUCUACAGAUGAAUGGAACUAGCUCCUUUGGGCUUGAAAAAUCCAUAUAUCAAAAAAUAUGCAGCUAGUCAGUCUCUCAAGUUAUUUGAAUAGAUUAAGUAGUGGAGCAUACAGAUGGAGUAACAGGCAAGAAGUAGAGAUAUCAAGAACUGUGCAAUCAAGUUGCAGAGCACAAUCGAUCUUUAGCAUCCAGCAUACAGUUUAAUGGAACAAUUAUCUACUUAGAACAAACUAUAGAAGCUACAUGUCCACAAGUUGUUGUUUUUUUCCU